GAUUUUACAGACUGGUGAGGGCUUGGAAUACCUUUAUUUUGACCAGGACAAAGAAUUUCUGGACUAGUUUGAAGCUAGAUCCUGGUAUGCCAAAAGAGAAGCUAUUAUCCCCCCUUCUUUUAUUUUAUUUUUCCCUCCCUUCCUCUCCCCCCUCUCCCUCUCUCUCUGAACAGUCCUCCCCCUGCACUGUCGGCCGCUGUGUGUCACAUGCCUGCUGGGGGAAGAAAAUGGAAGGUAAGCCAGAAGCCAGAAGGUCUUCUCCCAGCACAGUUCAGGACUGCCUGUGGCAGAGAGCAGAGCAAGCCAGCUUGCUUCUCCAGAGCGGUUCUGGGAAAGGCUGGGCUAAGUUCUGACAAGAGAGGAUGCGUGUUUGCACCAGAAGUCAGGCCUGAACAAGAACAGUACUCAGGGACCCAGGCUGGUUCCUGGGCCUAGGUGGGUGGUGGCGUGUGGACUGUCAUCUCUUCCUCUCCAGAGCUUCGCACUCGCAGCAACAUUGUUCAGGGUUUUUUUUUCCUCCCCCCGACUUAGCUUGGUACAGAAUGUUCUUCAAGUCAGCCUACAGCCAGCAAAUGGUUCUGAAAGUGUUUCCUAGCCUCUGAGGGAGUUUUUGGAGUAGGCUUGGUGCCUGGGGGGUUGGGGGUGGGUGGGGUGGGAGUGGGGAUGGGGAGAGAUUUUGAAUAACAUCCUGAAGGGGGGAAAAAAAGAGAUCUGUGAAGACUCUGACUCCUUUAGUUUUAUACUUCUUGCAUGAUUUUUCCAUGGGCUAAUGUCUCUUUUAUCCUUGUCUCCCUCCCCCCUUUUCAAACAUUCUAUCAUCUUCUGUCUUCUGUGAUACAGUGCAGGGGACAUGGCUCAUACAUACCUGAGGCUCAUGACAGCAUCCCAUAUCCAGUUGCUGGGUUGUGUUGUUGUGGUUGUUGUAGUGGUGGUGGUGGUGGUGGUGGUGUGUGUUUUUAAUAAUACCAUGUAACUGUUUACC
rnacentral:lncRNA from 1 species